GAUUUACACCGACUGUUGACCCAGACUGGUGAGUUUACUGAAUGACUAAUGGCAUUGGCUUAAAACAGGCAUAGCACUGAUCCUGCCAGUGUCCGCCAAAUGGAAUCCUCUUUUUCCAAAGUACGCAGCAGCUGGCAUGAAGUGAGAAAGGACAUUUGGACUUCAAACCCUGGGAUGCUUUGCUUCUGCUACUGCUGUCCAGUGGAAGUGGCUGAAUCUUGGGGUUUCUGAGCUC
rnacentral:lncRNA from 14 species